AAUAGAUACCCGGUAGUCCACGCCGUAAACGAUGAGUGCUAAGUGUUAGGGGGUUUCCGCCCCUUAGUGCUGCAGCUAACGCAUUAAGCACUCCGCCUGGGGAGUACGGUCGCAAGACUGAAACUCAAAGGAAUUGACGGGGGCCCGCACAAGCGGUGGAGCAUGUGGUUUAAUUCGAAGCAACGCGAAGAACCUUACCAGGUCUUGACAUCCUCUGACAAUCCUAGAGAUAGGACGUCCCCUUCGGGGGCAGAGUGACAGGUGGUGCAUGGUUGUCGUCAGCUCGUGUCGUGAGAUGUUGGGUUAAGUCCCGCAACGAGCGCAACCCUUGAUCUUAGUUGCCAGCAUUCAGUUGGGCACUCUAAGGUGACUGCCGGUGACAAACCGGAGGAAGGUGGGGAUGACGUCAAAUCAUCAUGCCCCUUAUGACCUGGGCUACACACGUGCUACAAUGGACAGAACAAAGGGCAGCGAAACCGCGAGGUUAAGCCAAUCCCACAAAUCUGUUCUCAGUUCGGAUCGCAGUCUG
rnacentral:rRNA from 1 species